rnacentral:rRNA from 1 species
UAGGCUAGAAUGUGAAGGAAUGAUACAGAAAUGGAUCAGUCAGCAAUGACCUGAAACA